AUUGAACGCUGGCGGCAUGCUUUACACAUGCAAGUCGAACGGUAACAGGCCGCAAGGUGCUGACGAGUGGCGAACGGGUGAGUAAUGCAUCGGAACGUGCCCAGUCGUGGGGGAUAACGCAGCGAAAGCUGCGCUAAUACCGCAUACGAUCUAUGGAUGAAAGCGGGGGGCCGUAAGGCCUCGCGCGAUUGGAGCGGCCGAUGUCAGAUUAGGUAGUUGGUGGGGUAAAGGCUCACCAAGCCAACGAUCUGUAGCUGGUCUGAGGGGACGACCAGCCACACUGGGACUGAGACACGACCCAGACUCCUCCGGGAGGCAGCAGUGGGGAAUUUUGGACAAUGGGCGCAAGCCUGAUCCAGCAAUGCCGCGUGCAGGAAGAAGGCCUUCGGGUUGUAAACUGCUUUUGUACGGAACGAAACGGUCCUGGUUAAUACCCGGGGCUAAUGACGGUACCGUAAGAAUAAGCACCGGCUAACUACGUGCCAGCAGCCGCCGUAACAC
rnacentral:rRNA from 1 species